AGAACGAACGCUGGCGGCAUGCCUAAUACAUGCAAGUCGAACGAACACUUCGGUGUUAGUGGCGCACGGGUGCGUAACGCGUGGGAAUCUGCCCUUGGGUUCGGAAUAACAGUUGGAAACGACUGCUAAUACCGGAUGAUAUCGAAAGAUCAAAGAUUUAUCGCCCAGGGAUGAGCCCGCGUAGGAUUAGCUAGUUGGUGAGGUAAAGGCUCACCAAGGCGACGAUCCUUAGCUGGUCUGAGAGGAUGAUCAGCCACACUGGGACUGAGACACGGCCCAGACUCCGUACGGGAGGCAGCAGUAAGGGAAUAGUUGGACAAGUGGGCGCAACGCCUGAUCCAGACAAUGCCGCGUGAGUAGAGUAGAACGG
rnacentral:rRNA from 1 species